UACGGAGGAUGCAAGUGUUAUCCGGAAUCACUGGGCGUAAAGCGUCUGUAGGUGGUUUAAAAAGUCCACUGUUAAAAAUUGAAGCUUAACUUCAAAGAUGACCGUGGAAACUUUUAAACUUGAGUAUGAUGAGGGGUAGAGGGAAUUUCCAGUGGAGCGGUGAAAUGCGUAGAUAUUGGAAAGACCACCAAUGGCGAAGGCACUCUACUGGGCCAUUACUGACACUGAGAGACGAAAGCUAGGGGAGCGAAUGGG
rnacentral:rRNA from 1 species